GCUGGUCCCCUGUGUGCCCGCCCCCCCAGUCCGGGAGCCAGCACAGCUCCUCUGGGAGGAGAGACUGCCCCAGCCCGCAAGGAAGUGCUCAUUAUCCCAGUGGGACAGGGCCACUCCCGGCCACGUCUCCAAGCAAGCCCGGUGCCCCCUCCUCCUGCCUCCACCAUCUGAACUGCCUGGGCUGCAGACAUCUAUGGUGGAGCCUCUGGGGCCAGAUGUUACAGGGCCCCCCCAGCCAGAGGGCCCCUCGUCUCUGAACAUGUGGGAGGAAAUGCCUUUUUCCAGCCGCAGGAUGGGCAGCGGCAGAAGGAAGGUCAUCUGGGCUCUGUGCUUCCUGCUGCUUCUCCUGGAAGCCGGUUCUGCCAAGAAUCUCUGGAAACGGGCAUUGCACCCCAGGCUGGCCGAGAAGCCCCGCGCCGAGGAGGCGGCGGGUCCCCGGCAACCCCGCGCCGACCGCUGCCCCCCGCCGCCGCGUUCGCUGCCCCCCGGCGCCUGCCAGGCUGCGCGAUGCCAGGCGGACUCCGAGUGCCCGCGGCACCGGCGCUGCUGCUACAACGGCUGUGCCUACGCCUGCCUGGAGGCCGUGCCGCCCCCUCCAGUUUUAGACUGGCUAGUGCAGCCGAAACCUCGAUGGCUCGGUGGCAACGGCUGGCUUCUGGAUGGCCCUGAGGAGGUGUUGCAAGCCGAGGCCUGCAGCACCACGGAGGACGGGGCGGAGCCUCUCCUCUGCCCCUCAGGUUAUGAGUGCCACAUCCUGAGCCCUGGUGAUGUGGCUGAGGGCAUCCCCAACCGCGGGCAGUGUGUCAAGCAGCGCCGGCAGGCAGAAUUGCCCAUAGUAGGCAUCUUUGUGGUUUCUCCUACAUUCCGCCUGCUGUUUGGGGUUAUGAGCACGUUCUCCCACCAAACGGCCUGGGCUCCAGUGGCCACUUGGCUCCUCACUGCUGCGUAUGUGUUCAUCCCCAAGGAGAAGGAAGGCCCAGGAAUGCUUCAUCGCCGCCAGCCUGGACAAACCCAGCCAUUUGCUUCAGAAAAUAGCUGUGGCCCUCAUUGCUGAUAAGUUAUCAGCCUGAGGAUGGGCGAUUCCUCCGACACAAAUUUUACAAAGAAUACCCAGAAGGUGACUCCAAAAAUGUGGCGGAGCCUGGGAAAGGACCCCAGAGGCACUUUCAAUAAGGCAGCAGUGCUGCCAAUUGCAAGAACAUUUCUCCACUUUCUGCUAAGUCUUGGAAACAGUUGGAUAAAACAUGAUCUGACCCCCAGAGGUCAUGCUCAGCUCCACAGAGCAUGACCCCAGAGAUACUUAGAGACAAGACACGUGGCUCCCAAUGUCAGCAUGACCCGCCUGGCUGGGUGACUUUGUGGGAGCCCCUUGCCAGCACCGGAUCCCUGUUUUAUUAUCCUGAAGAUCCAGCACGUCUGACCUGGCGAUCCCACAGGCCUCGGGAAGAGGUCACCGUCUUUGGGAGCUGUAUGAAGCCCCAUUCUAAGACAGAGUUCAGCAUCACAUUUCUUCCAGAUUUGACUCUGGAAGGCACGUACCUAUCCCAAAUGUUCUCAAAAUAAAUCUCUCCUUACAAAAUGGAAAUGAACUUA